UAGGGAAUCUUCCGCAAUGGCGAAAGCUGACGGAGCGACGCCGCGUGAGCGAAGAAGGCCUUCGGGUCGUAAAGCUCUGUUGUGAGGGACGAAGGGGCGCCGUUCGAAGAGGGCGGCGCCUUGACGGUACCGCACGAGGAAGCCCCGGCUAACUACGUGCCAGCAGCCGCGGUAAUACGUAGGGGGCGAGCGUUGUCCAGAAUUAUUGGGCGUAAAGCGCGCGCAGGCGGUCCCUUAAGUCUGAUGUGAAAGCCCACGGCUCAACCGUGGAGGGUCAUUGGAAACUGGGGGACUUGAGUGCAGGAGAGGAGAGCGGAAUUCCACGUGUAGCGGUGAAAUGCGUAGAGAUGUGGAGGAACACCAGUGGCGAAGGCGGCUCUCUGGCCUGCAACUGGCGCUGAGGCGCGAAAGCGUGGGGAGCAAACAGGAUUAGAUACCCUGGUAGUCCAUGCCGUAAACGAUGAGUGCUAAGUGUUAGAGGGGUCACACCCUUUAGUGCUGCAGCUAACGCGAUAAGCACUCCGCCUGGGGAGUACGG
rnacentral:rRNA from 1 species